rnacentral:tRNA from 1 species
GGGGGGCUGGCGCAACGGUAGCGCGUCGGAUUCCAGUUAAUCCACAGAGUGAGCGUCCCGAAGGUUACCGGUUCAAAUCCGGUGUCCCUCA